UAUGGAGGAGGCAAGCGUUACCCGGCAUUAUUGGGCGUAAAGCGUCCGUAGGUGGUGAUUCAAGUCAGCGGUUAAAGCGUGGGGCUUAACCUCAUACAGGCCGUUGAAACUGGAUUGCUAGAGUGCGGUAGGGGUCGAGGGAAUUCCCAGUGUAGCGGUGAAAUGCGUAGAUAUUGGGAAGAACACCGGUGGCGAAAGCGCUCGGCUGGGCCUGCACUGACACUGAGGGACGAAAGCUAGGGGAGCGAAAGGG
rnacentral:rRNA from 1 species